GGGCAUCUGGGGGCGUAGACUGGGGUGGAGCUGCGUGGGCAUCUGGGGGCAUAGACUGGGGUGGAACUAUGUAGGCACCCCACACACUCAGGUGACUUCCACCCAGUCUGUCCUGGCGGUUUUCAGAUGAGGAAGUGCUGGCUGAUGUCCGCACCAUCGUGAACCAGAUCAGCUACACCCCCAGGAUCCCCGAGACCUCUGUGGACGCAUACUGACCACCUGCUACAUGGCCAGCAAGAACUCCUCCCAAGAGACGUGCACCCGAGCCAGAGAGUUGGCCCAGCAGAUUGGAAGCCACCACAUCAGUCUCAACAUCGAUCCAGCUGUGAAGGCCGUCAUGGGCAUCUUCAGCCUGGUGACGGGGAAGAGCCCUCU
rnacentral:sRNA from 1 species